AUUGAACGCUGGCGGCAGGCCUAACACAUGCAAGUCGAGCGGAUGAAGGGAGCUUGCUCCUGGAUUCAGCGGCGGAGGGGUGAGUAAUGCCUAGGAAUCUGCCUGGUAGUGGGGGAUAACGUCCGGAAACGGGCGCUAAUCCCGCAUACGUACCGUGGGAGAAAGUGGGGGAUCUUGCGACCUCAUGCUUACAGAGUAGCCUAGGUGGGAUUAGCUAGUUGGAGGGGUAAAGGCCUACCAAGGCGACGAUCCGUAACUGGUCUGAGAGGAUGAUCAGUCACACUGGAACUGAGAAACGGUCCAGACUCCUACGGGAGGAAGCAGUGGGGAAUAUUGGACAAUGGGCGAAAACGUGAUCCAGCCAUGCCGCGUGUGUGAAGAAGGUCUUCGGAUUGUAAAGCACUUUAAGUUGGGAGGAAGGGCAGUAAGUUAAUACCUUGCUGUUUUGACGGUACCAACAGAAUAAGCACCGGCUAACUUCGUG
rnacentral:rRNA from 1 species